AGACCCGAAACCCGGUGAUCUAGCCAUGGGCAGGUUGAAGGUUGGGUAACACUAACUGGAGGACCGAACCGACUAAUGUUGAAAAAUUAGCGGAUGACUUGUGGCUGGGGGUGAAAGGCCAAUCAAACCGGGAGAUAGCUGGUUCUCCCCGAAAGCUAUUUAGGUAGCGCCUCGUGAAUUCAUCUCCGGGGGUAGAGCACUGUUUCGGCAAGGGGGUCAUCCCGACUUACCAACCCGAUGCAAACUGCGAAUACCGGAGAAUGUUAUCACGGGAGACACACGGCGGGUGCUAACGUCCGUCGUGAAGAGGGAAACAACCCAGACCGCCAGCUAAGGUCCCAAAGUCAUGGUUAAGUGGGAAACGAUGUGGGAAGGCCCAGACAGCCAGGAUGUUGGCUUAGAAGCAGCCAUCAUUUAAAGAAAGCGUAAUAGCUCACUGGUCGAGUCGGCCUGCGCGGAAGAUGUAACGGGGCUAAACCAUGCACCGAAGCUGCGGCAGCGACACUGUGUGUUGUUGGGUAGGG
rnacentral:rRNA from 1 species